rnacentral:rRNA from 1 species
AGUCUCCGGAUUGGCUUUGGGGAGCCGGCGACGGCACCCUAUUGCUGAGAAGCUGAUCAAACUUGGUCAUUUAGAGGAAGUAAAAGUCGUAACAAGGUUUCCGUAGGUGAACCUGCGGAAGGAUCAUUAUCGAAUUAUAAGCGAGGGUUGUCGCUGGCCUUGAAAGAGGCAUGUGCACGCCCGAGCUCUUAAAUCCACAACACACCUGUGAACCCACCGUAGGCCUUCGGGCUUAUGUAUCAUAUACUCUGAAUGUGUCAUAGAAUGUUCAUGUUGCCUUAAAACGCAAUCAAAUACAACUUUCAACAACGGAUCUCUUGGCUCUCGCAUCGAUGAAGAACGCAGCGAAAUGCGAUAAGUAAUGUGAAUUGCAGAUUUUCAGUGAAUCAUCGAAUCUUUGAACGCACCUUGCGCUCCUUGGUAUUCCGAGGAGCAUGCCUGUUUGAGUGUCAUUAAAUUCUCAACCCCACCGAUUUGCUUUGGGGGGAUUGGACUUGGAGUGUGCUGGCGAAGGUCGGCUCCUCUUUAAAUGCAUCAGUGGAGAGAAACUUGCCCCAGUGUGAUAAUCCUGUUGCGCUGUGGUGGGCGAAAGUCUGCUUCCAACCGUCCCUCCGGGGACAUACGUCAUCUCAUUUUGACCUCAAAUCAGGUAGGACUACCCGCUGAACUUAAGCAUAUCAAUAAGCGGAGGAAAAGAAACUAACAAGGAUUCCCCUAGUAACUGCGAGUGAAGCGGGAAAAGCUCAAAUUUAAAAUCUGGCGGUCGCUAUGGCCGUCCGAGUUGUAAUCUGGAGAAGUGUUUUCCGCGUCGGACCGUGUACAAGUCUUCUGGAACGGAGCGUCAUAGAGGGUGAGAAUCCCGUCUCUGACACGGACUGCCGAUGCUUUAUGUGAUACGCUCUCGAAGAGUCGAGUUGUU